AACUGGUUGCGUUGUGGUCGGUA
rnacentral:siRNA from 1 species